rnacentral:tRNA from 1 species
GGUUCCGUGGUCUAGUUGGUUAUGAUUUCUCGCUAACACCGAGAAGGUCCCCGGUUCGAGCCCGGGCGGAACCA